GACGAACGCUGGCGGCGUGCUUAACACAUGCAAGUCGAGCGGCGCGAGUAACGGGUGAGUAACGCGUGAGUAACUGCCCCCCUCUCUGGGAUAACAGUUGGAAACGGCUGCUAACAACGGACAGUGGGGGAUGACUCGCGGCCUAUCAGCUUGUUGGUGGGGUAGUGGCCUACCAAGGCGACGACGGGUAGCCGGCCUGAGAGGGCGACCGGCCACAUUGGGCUGAGAUACGGCCCAGACUCCUACGGGAGGCAGCAGUGGGGAAUAUUGCACAAUGGGCGAAACCCUGAUGCAGCAACGCCGCGUGCGGGAUGACGGCCUUCGGGUUGUAAACCGCUUUCACCCUCGACGCGGUAGUGGCAGAAGAAGCACCGGCUAACUACGUGCCAGCAGCCGCGGUAAUUC
rnacentral:rRNA from 1 species